rnacentral:rRNA from 1 species
AGAGUUUGAUCCUGGCUCAGGAUGAACGCUAGCUACAGGCUUAACACAUGCAAGUCGAGGGGCAGCAUGUUGGUUGCUUGCAACCAAUGAUGGCGACCGGCGCACGGGUGAGUAACGCGUAUCCAACCUACCCUUGUCCAUCGGAUAACCCGUCGAAAGGCGGCCUAACACGAUAUGCGGUUCACAGCAGGCAUCUAAGGUGAACGAAAUGUGAAGGAGAAGGAUGGGGAUGCGUCUGAUUAGCUUGUUGGCGGGGUAACGGCCACAAGGCGACGAUCAGUAGGGGUUCUGAGAGGAAGGUCCCCCANAUUGGAACUGAGACACGGGUCCAAACUCCUACGGGAGGCA